UGUUAAAAUUUUUAUCAAUUUGUACUAUUAAAAACUAACGUAGUUGACAGAAUAACCAGACAGUGACACGCUGUGUGCCAUGUAUACGUGAUGCUGACAUACAAUUACCAAUUUUUAGCAAUAAAGAUGGAUAAAUUUUUUAACA
rfam:Gossypium arboreum cultivar AKA8401 contig_36595_1, whole genome shotgun sequence.